ACUCAAAUGAAUUGACGGGGACCCGCACAACCAGUGGAGCGUGUGGUUCAAUUCGAGACAAAGCGAAAAACCUCACCAGGGUUUGACAUGCAACUGCAAACUCUAUGAAAGUAGAGCUCUUUUGAAGGUGUUGCACAGGUGCUGCAUGGCUGUCGUCAGCUCGUGCCGUGAGGUGUUCCCUUAAGUGGGGAAACGAGCGCAACCCGCGUUAAAUGUUAAAUAUUCAUUUAAGACUGCCUUGUUUUUACAAGGAGGAAGGAGCGGAAGACGUCAAGUCAGCACGGCCCUUAUACCCUGGGCUACACACACCCUACAAUGGCGAAGAACAACGAGCCGCAAGCCAGCGAUGGCAAGCUAAUCUCUGAAAUUUCGCCUCAGUUCAGAUUGCAGUCUGAAAUUCGACUGCAUGAAGUCGGAAUUGGUAGUAAUCGCGGAUCAGCAGGCCGCGGUGAAUACGUUCUCGGGUCUUGUACACACCGCCCGU
rnacentral:rRNA from 1 species